UUGGCAGUCCUGAAGACUGUAGUCCUCUAUUUAUCCACAGUCUAAUUUCAACGCAGGCAGCUGGAGUGGAAGCUUCCCUACAUUGGCUUGCCAAUGCUUUCAACCCUGACCUAAAGAGACCUAGAAGCAAGAAAUAAUUCAUUCUUUAUGCUUGUUUGGUCCUGGAUUUCU
ensembl:misc_RNA